rnacentral:lncRNA from 1 species
GCACCACCACGAAUCUUUAGCCUGCAGACUCCUUUCAGUGGGCACAAAACCGCUAGGCUGCCACAGAGAGGCCCUGCUUUCCAUCAGAAUAUUACCCCUUCGUUUCCCCCUUCUUUAAACGCUAAACGGAGAGAACAGGCUUGGGCUGGGAUAAUGGGAUCUUUUCUCUCUCUCUGCCGCCGGGGGUGAAAACGGCAACAAUGGAGGCAAAAUGAUUUAAAGGGAGCUUUUUCACCUGCUCUCCUUCUUCUCCCAAGCUAUCUGUGUCUUUCAGAGGAUGCUAAUGCCAGCUAAUUUACCAAAAGAUCAUGGGGAUCGGGGCCUGUUCCCGAGGAAGCAGUAUAUCCUUCGCGUCGGGCUCGUCAGAGUCAUGAAAGGAAAAAAAGGAUUCUGCUAGUCCGUGGCCCAGGCAUGGAUCAAAGCUGGCGAGACGUUCAAUGAGCCAUCAUCGCAGACGAAUCAACCGUGGCCCUUGAGCAAUUAGCUCAAAAUUGCUACAGAAAAAAGUAAGAUCAAGCAAGCCAAGUCUCAAGCAUCCCUUCAAACUCCAUGUGUGGGGGGCAAUUUCUCGCCAGGGACCAGGCCCAUUUUUUAUGUUUGAUGGUAUCACGGCUCAAGAUUUCUUUGAGGAAGAAAUCUUCAAUAGGUAUACUUAACCCUAUGUCAGAGAGGUGUUUCUGGGACCACAUCGUUUCUUUCAAGACAAUGACCCAAACCAAAUUGAGGGACAACACUGGGCCAAUUGUGUGCCACCAUAUGGGUCUCUCAAUCACAGUUGGAUGAGAUACAGUCUGGAUUCAAACCAGGGACUCUAGUGAUGCCUCUUGCACUGAGAUGCAAUGUCUUAGACCACUGCGCCACUCGGGAGCCAUGACCAAUAGGACCAAUAUAUAUUCUCCAGCUAAUAGCCCAUCCUAGAAACAUGCUCGUGCUAUGCUUGUGAAAAACAUGGUUAAUAAUAAUAAUACUUUUUCCCCCUUCCACUUGUUAAAGUUUCCAAUUGAUAAAGUUUUUUUUAAUCAAUUAGUAUAUUUGAGUUUAACCACAAUAUUUGUUGUAUUAUUUGUUCUGUCUUUUCUGGUGGAUUAAACCAACUUUCUAUGGCUUGUUUUAAAAAAUAACAAUAUUUCGGAGAAUAUUUUAUUUUCAAAAAACCUAAAGUGAGCGAGAAAAAUGCCAUUCUUGAACAUGGGGUGAGACAUUGUUACUAAUUUGUAAAAAAAAGCCAGUUUGUUAUUUAGAAUGAUUUUUUUUCUGUUUAUAUUUUAUUUAUUUAUUCAUUUUUUACCCCUUUUUCUCCCCAAUUUCGUGGUAUCCAAUUGGUAGUUACAGUCCUGUCCCAUCGCUGCAACUCUCGUACGGACAUGGGAGAGGCGAAGGUCGAGAGCCGUGCGUCCUCUGAAACACAACCCAGCCAAGCCACUCUGCUUCUUGGCAACUGUAUCAGCGUGCAUUGCACCCAGCCCGCCACAGGAGUCACUAGUGCGUGAUGGGACAGGAACAUCCCUGCUGGCAAAAACGUUCCAUAACCCGGACGACGCUUGGCCAAUUGUGCGUAGUCCCAUGGGUCUCCCGGGUGCGACAGAGCCUGGACUCAAACCAGGAUCUCUAGUGACACAUCUAGCACUGUGAUGCAGUGUUUAUUUCUGUUUUUAAAGGGAGAGAAACCAAAAGCCUACUGUUGUCUCAUGGGUCUCAGCUGGCACGGGUAUCAAACCAGCAUCUGUAGCAACUCAGUUUGCACUGCGUUUGCACUGAGAUGCAGUGCCUUAGACCGCUGCGCCACAUGGGCGCUGUACAAUGUGACAGGUUGGGAGUAGGCUACAGUACUACAGUAAGAGAAAAAAUCAUCCUAACAUUUCCACUCCCUAAUUGUAGUCUAAGUUUCUCUUAGAAUAAAAACCUUAGUGUAACAACAGUUUUAGUAAGUAAUACUGAUGAGUAGUAUCAAAAAAAGAAGUGUAUUUUUUUCAGGUGCGCGUGCAGGACAUAGGAAUAGCAAUUCUUACACUAUUGUUCUAAAUUCAGUCACCUUCUUCAUCCUCAUCAUUCAGUUCAUUAAAAUUCAAUAAAAAUGUCAUAAUGAAAUCAUAUCACUGUGGAGUAAGCAACUUUUACCAAAC